rnacentral:lncRNA from 1 species
UCUUGUGUACAAACACAUACUUAUAAAGCAAUAUUCUAAAUAUGUGUACACAAUAUUUCAAAAAGUACUCUUACAAUAGUUUAAUAUUUUCUAGCAAUGAAUAUAUUUCACAAAAUCAAAUAUAAUGUAUUCAAACUUUUACAAUAGUUCAAAAACUCUUCAUCAUCCACUUCAAUGAGAUCAAAUUGACUUGUGGCGACCCUUCAAAUUUGAUCACCUUCAUUUCCCUACACAUUUAAAAUGUACAACAAAUCAGAUUGCAGCAGUACUUAUAGAAGAGGCAAGAAGUUCCAGAUUCCAGCAGUUCCUGAUUGCAGACUGCAGAUUAUUUGAGUUCCAGAUUGCAUAUUACAGUUCCUGAUUCCAGAUUGCAGAUUACAGAUUAUAGUUCCAGAUUGCAGGUUCCAGAUUCCAAAUUGCAGAUUGCAAAACAUGCAUGUGUAUAAAUAACAUAUGCACUCAGAGACAUGUUGGUAUGUAAAGACCAUAAAUUUAACUUGCUAACCUUCUGUUGACGUAACAUAAAGCUUAUUCUGAGAGGACUGUUUCGAAGAAAUGAUGAAUUAGAUGUGGAAGAUAUUGAGUUGACAGAGUUAUUGAAGGCACAAACUUGUAGAAGACAUUUUCUUGAGUCGAGAUCUGUUGUGCGCAUUUGUAAUAGUAAUGCCUCUUUUUCAGAUGGCAACAUUUCUUUAUUUUUUUGCGUAAAUUGAAUUUCAUUUAAGUGUUUGUACCUAAUAAACAUGGACGUUUAUUCUUUUCCUUUGAAUGUGUAGCAAGUUCAGCCUUUUCUCCCGAGACAUCUGCAUUCAGGCAGCCAACAAAUUGCAGAAGCAGAUAAGACAUGUGUGCAUGUUAUCCAAAAGUAAUACCGACAAUGAUAAAUUUAUAAUCCAGAGAUGUACAAUGCAUAGAAAGAUCGACAAAGGAAAACAUGUUGUUGUUAGUAACAAACCUCAACAACAAACUGAAAAGUACAAACAACUCAUAGACUCCAAAGAAAGAGCAAACACUACUGCUCAAUUGACAAGGAUAAUUAUAUCAAGCAACUUCAUUCCUAAAAAGCAUCAGUUUUGUGCAACAGAAAACCACUUCAACCUUUCAGUGGUAGUUUUCCUCUAAAUUCACCACGAGAAACUGCAGCAAUUAAUAACAUAAUUUAUUUGAAUUCAUAAAGUAAGUUAGAGGAGUAAAUGACCAAGAUUAUAAUUUAAAAUAAUAAAUUUACAUUCUUGGUAGUCAAUGAGAAAUUGAGGAAACCCCUAAAAUGGACGAGAAGAUGAAGUAUUUAUAUAAGCUGCAACAUUGCCGGUUAGAGGAAAAGGAGAACCCACAGCAAGAAUUUCCCUUAUUCGGUUUUAGGAAAUGAAGAGACUAUCUGUCACACAAAAAGGUCAAGUUUGAGAAUGCAAGAAAGUGUAGGAUGAGAUACUUUUAUCUAAUGUGGUCUUUUGAUCAUGAAUUAAGAGAGUUGUGUCGUAGGAUAAGGUUUUUCUUCCAUCAACUGCCAGGGAUAAGCCAUAUCUAUUUUAAGCUAAGGUUAUAUCCUCUUGAAAUGUCAUACUAAACAAUCUUGCACCGAUGUAAAGAUAGAUUGCCCAGUGGUUGUUGCAAGUGAAAAGAACUGAAACUUAAAACACUUUAAAAUGCAGAUGAAAGUACUGGUGCAGCUACAAAUUACAAAUUACUAGUAAAUAUUCUUACAAAUUACUUUGUGGCUCCAAAAUUGAGAAUAUUUAUGGCAACUUAAGAACAUACUAGAGGGAUUAAACAAGCAAUUCAUUCUCAAAUCUCUUUAUUUCUUUUUACAACCUUAACAUUACCUCUUAUGGACUCUAAUAUUCUAGCAUAAUGAAUUAUAACAGAACUCUGCUCUACUCGCAAAAUCUUUAAGACUUGAGAAAACUUACUAAGUUCAUUCCUUGCAGAUUGUUAAGAACUUCAUAAAUUCUUCUGAAUAUCUGCCUUUCUAGUGCAUUGUCUAACUUUAGCAUAAAUGUCAA